rnacentral:rRNA from 1 species
GACGAACGCUGGCGGCGUGCCUAAUACAUGCAAGUUGAGCGCUGAAGGUUGGUACUUGUUCCAACUGGAUGAGCAGCGAACGGGUGAGUAACGCGUGGGGAAUCUGCCUUUGAGCGGGGGACAACAUUUGGAAACGAAUGCUAAUACCGCAUAAAAACUUUAAACACACGUUUUAAGUUUGAAAGAUGCAAUUGCAUCACUCAAAGAUGAUCCCGCGUUGUAUUAGCUAGUUGGCGAGGUAAAGGCUCACCAAGGCGAUGAUACAUAGCCGACCUGAGAGGGUGAUCGGCCACAUUGGGACUGAGACACGGCCCAAACUCCUACGGGAGGCAGCAGUAGGGAAUCUUCGGCAAUGGACGAAAGUCUGACCGAGCAACGCCGCGUGAGUGAAGAAGGUUUUCGGAUCGUAAAACUCUGUAGGUAGAGAAGAACGUUGGUGAGAGUGGAAAGCUCAUCAAGUGACGGUAACUACCCAGAAAGGGACGGCUAACUACGUG